UACGUAGGGGGCAAGCGUUGUCCGGAUUUAUGGGGCGUAAAGAGCGUGUAGGCGGCUGGGUAGGUCCGUUGUGAAAACUCGAGGCUCAACCUCGAGACGCCGAUGGAAACCCUCCAGCUAGAGUCCGGAAGAGGAGAGUGGAAUUCCUGGUGUAGCGGUGAAAUGCGCAGAUAUCAGGAAGAACACCCGUGGCUAAGGCGGCUCUCUAGUACGGUACUGACGCUGAGACGCGAAAGCGUGGGGAGCGAACAGG
rnacentral:rRNA from 1 species